CACCUUCUUUGAAUUCACCCAAUGUGGAUUGGACCAUGCCCAAGGAUUUUCAUGGGCAGCACACUGGGUGAGUUAACUCUUGAGUAUAUCCCUGUCUUAUAGUACUCUGGAAGUCAAAUCUUACAAUAACCUUCUUCUCAACACCCUGAGAAGAGGUAAGGGCAUGUUAUUGUAACAUAUUUAAGAAAAAGCUAUCCAUAUGACUCUAAUAUAGUCAAGGUUAUUAUAGUCAAAGAGAGUUUGACAUUCUAUUUUAUGCUGGUUUGUUAUAUACAAUAAUCAUAUAGAUUUGACUUUCAUUCACACCAAUUCAAUAAAAGUGUGGGUAUACAUAUAUAAGUGUAUACAUAUACGUGUGUGUGUGUGUGUGUGUGUGUGUGUAUUUUUUGCUUUAAAUACAUAUAUUUAAAGUUGUUGGAUGUGAAAAUUGGUGGGGAUAAUACCUGAUUUCAGGUUAAAAAACUCAGAAGUACAGUUGACUCUUGAACAAUGUGGGAAUUAAGGCCCCCUCCCCCUUGCAUAGUAAAAAAUCCAUGUAAUGUUUGACUACCCUGCCAAACUUGACUACUAAUACCCUACUGUUAACUGAUAACAUUAACACAUACUUUGUAAAUGUAUUAUAUGCUACAUUUUUAUAAUAAAGUAAGCUAGAAAAAAGAACAUGUUAAAAUCAUAAGGAAAAUACAUAUACAGUACUGUAUCAAGAAACAUUUGCAUAUAAGUGGACGUGUGCAGUUCAGACCCGUGAAUUUCAAGAAUCCCCUUUAGUUGAUUUUAGAUUGCAAUUCAUGGUUUAACUGCAUUUUCUGCUACCUCAAUAUUCCAAAAACCAAAUUCUGACAAACUUUUACCACUGUGACAUUCAGAUCUCUCCUCUGCUGAUGAGAUCAACAGUGGCCAGCAAAGAAAUCUAAAAUCUCUUGUAUUUAUUAUAGUCAUCUUUCAGAUGAUGAAUGUUUGCCUGCAUGCUAAUAUUAAACUUAAGUCCUCUGUCCACUUACACAAUUUUCCAGCUUUCUUUCUUCAUUUAACUUUAUUAAAGAAUAUACAGCUUUUCUUCUCUCUUUAAUUUUUAUAGUGCCAUUUAAAAAUUAUUUUUACUUUUCAUACACAAUUAGAAACACUGGCACUUUUUAGAAAAAAUGAAAUAAAAAAACUUAAAAUUAUAGUUCAACAGAAAAACAACAUUCAUUAGAAGAACUGAGUCUGCUGGAAGGGUGGUAGGAAACUUGGAAAUAAACUUUCACCUUGUCUUUUGACAAGAUGGAAAAAACAGGUCUGAUUGGGUAGGUGGUUACUUGUUUGGACCCCUUACCUAACUAUAGGUAAAAGCAGGAUGGGAACUUUGAACUUGAGCCCAUUUUUUUUCACUCCUUAGUGACAAAAAAGUGUAAUUAACAUAUUUUGGGGUUCUCAUUUUUUGUAUUAAUAAUAGCAGUUUAUCAGCAUUUAAAGAUACAUUCUUUCCCAUUGACAAAAUAAAUUCACAGAAGGAAAAAUAGCUUUAUUUUUAAAGAAAUUAAAUAUCUAUUUGCAUACGUGAGACAGUAUCUUUCAUUUAGCCCUAAGCUGAUUCUGUGUUUGUUACCAUAUUCCAAUAAGAUUUUUGGAAAUCAAUUUCAAAUACAUUACCAUAUACUUAUUAGUAGAUAUCAAACAGAGCUACUGACAUUAAGGAAAAAAUUUCAGUAACUGUUUACCCACCCUGAGAUACUCAUUCUUGUAAUACAUUUGGGAUUAUUUGAGCAUUUAAAAAUUUAAUGAAAUAUUUAUCUUUUCAUUGCAUGCAUCAAUAUGUUAAGUUCUCUGCUACAAUCCAGGUAAAAUAAUGAUAGCGACCAUUGUGUUUU